AGCUGGAAAAGUACAAGAAUGUGAAAGAGAAAGCGGUUCGGAGAAUGAUGUCAGGGUGCAUCUGGCACUAUUAGACAACCCAUCCGGAGGUCAACCUGGUCAGCAGGGCUGAACAGCCCGUGCAUGUCGGAGUCACAUCCUCAGUGGGGAAGACCAGGAAACACUCUACCACUGCACUGUUGCAUAACCAAGAAACUUUCCCCAUGAUGCCCUCAGAACACUCAGAGAAAGAGAGAGAGCACACAAGCAGUGGGAGUGGCAGGCAGAGGGAGAAGCAGACUCCCUGCUGAGCAAGGAGCCCAGUGUGGGACUCGAUCCAUGACCUGAGCUGAAGGCAGAUGCUUAACCAACUGAGCCACCCAGGUAUCCCUGAUCAGGUUUAAAGAAGUUACAUUCCUCACCAUCUCAGACCAAAUGUAUAUUAACAUCAGUGUAUCACAAUUUCAGAUAGAAAUAGUCUCUUUAGCGUUUGUGGGGUUUUUCAUCUCCAGUUGGAGAAAUGUUGAAUAAAUUGAAGUUGGCAAAAAAUGCUCUUAAGACUUUUCCUGGAAGCCUAAAUCUCUCUACACAGACAAAACUCAAUUUUAAUUCCUAACCAUUCUGUCAUUUCAUCAAAACACCAGUGUUUUAAAAAUCACAUUUGAGGGGCGCCUGAGUGGUUCAGUCAGUUAAGCAUCUGCCUUCGGCUCAGGUCAUGAUCUCAGGGUCCUGGGACGGAGCCCCACAUCGGGCUCCUUGCUCAGCAGGAAGUCUGCUUCUCCUU